rnacentral:rRNA from 1 species
GACGAACGCUGGCGGCGUGCUUAACACAUGCAAGUCGAACGGUGACGAGGAGCUUGCUCCUCUGAUCAGUGGCGAACGGGUGAGUAACACGUGAGCAACCUGCCCCAGACUCUGGGAUAACAGUUGGAAACAGCUGCUAAUACCGGAUACGAGACGGAGAGGCAUCUCUACCGUCUGGAAAGUUUUUCGGUCUGGGAUGGACUCGCGGCCUAUCAGCUAGUUGGUGAGGUAAUGGCUCACCAAGGCGACGACGGGUAGCCGGCCUGAGAGGGCGACCGGCCACACUGGGACUGAGACACGGACCAGACUCCUACGGGAGGCAGCAGUGAGGAAUAUUGGACAAUGGGCGAAAGCCUGACGCAGCAACGCCGCGUGACUGAUUAAGCUCUGAGGAGUGUAAAAGUCUGUCGUAGAGGAAGAAACUAUCCGAUAAGAAUAUUGUCGGAUACUGACGGUACUCUAUGAGAAAGCUCCGGCUAACUCCG